AGCAAAGGGCUUGUGGCUAAACGCCUACUUUCCUCAAUGCAAGAAAGGGGAAUAUCACCAGAUUUUGUUUUAUGCAUCGGAGAUGACCGUUCAGAUGAAGAUAUGUUUGAGGUAAUUACCAGUUCCAUGGCAGGUCCAUCAAUUGCUCCAAGGGCAGAAGUAUUUGCAUGCACUGUUGGUCGAAAACCCAGCAAGGCUAAAUAUUAUCUUGAUGAUACCGCAGAAAUUGUUAGGCUGAUGCAAGGUUUGGCGUCGGUUUCAGAACAAACAGUUACCGUGUAAGCUGAGUGAAAGGCGUACUCUCUUGUUUUCUCUGUAAAUUUAAGCAUGUAGGUUGAUCUACAUAGUUUUUGCUAUCUUUUCCCGCUUUUCUUUCAUGUACAAAUCGUCAUAGUGUUACUUUAGAGAAGCUGUGGAAGCAGAAACACUUUUUUCCCCUCUUUCU
rnacentral:misc_RNA from 1 species